rnacentral:rRNA from 1 species
AGAGUUUGAUCCUGGCUCAGGACGAACGCUGGCGGCGUGCUUAACACAUGCAAGUCGAACGCUGAAGCCCAGCUUGCUGGGUGGAUGAGUGGCGAACGGGUGAGUAACACGUGAGUAACCUGCCCCCUUCUUUGGGAUAACGCCCGGAAACGGGUGCUAAUACUGGAUAUUCACUGGCCUUCGCAUGGGGGUUGGUGGAAAGGUUUUUUCUGGUGGGGGAUGGGCUCGCGGCCUAUCAGCUUGUUGGUGGGGUGAUGGCCUACCAAGGCUUUGACGGGUAGCCGGCCUGAGAGGGUGACCGGUCACAUUGGGACUGAGAUACGGCCCAGACUCCUACGGGAGGCAGCAGUGGGGAAUAUUGCACAAUGGGCGAAAGCCUGAUGCAGCGACGCCGCGUGAGGGAUGGAGGCCUUCGGGUUGUAAACCUCUUUCGCUCAUGGUCAAGCCGCAACAUUGGUUGUGGUGAGGGUAGUGGGUAAAGAAGCGCCGGCUAACUACGUGCCAGCAGCCGCGGUAAUACGUAGGGCGCGAGCGUUGUCCGGAAUUAUUGGGCGUAAAGAGCUCGUAGGCGGCUGGUCGCGUCUGUCGUGAAAUCCUCUGGCUUAACUGGGGGCUUGCGGUGGGUACGGGCCGGCUUGAGUGCGGUAGGGGAGACUGGAACUCCUGGUGUAGCGGUGGAAUGCGCAGAUAUCAGGAAGAACACCGGUGGCGAAGGCGGGUCUCUGGGCCGUUACUGACGCUGAGGAGCGAAAGCGUGGGGAGCGAACAGGAUUAGAUACCCUGGUAGUCCACGCUGUAAACGUUGGGCACUAGGUGUGGGGGCCACCCGUGGUUUCUGCGCCGUAGCUAACGCUUUAAGUGCCCCGCCUGGGGAGUACGGCCGCAAGGCUAAAACUCAAAGGAAUUGACGGGGGC